UUGGGUUCAGGUUACUUACAGGAUCGCCUUCUCCCAUACAAUCUGCUCCAAACACUUAGGGCAUCUGGGGGCCAGUUACUCCAGCCUGCCAGAACCUGACUGGUGACCGUCAUCCACAGGACCUUUUCAUCAGUUGUCCCAUGACUCUGGAAUGACCAGCUGGAAGAGCCCCAACAGCUAGAUCAGCUGUCGGAAUUUAAAAACGACUUAAAGAGCUAUUUCUUCUGGAAAUCCAUACGUAAAAGAAGCUCUUCUGCCAUCCUGAUGGAUCCAAACUUCCUAGAAAAAAAUGACAUAAAAGACUUACUUUUAGAAGGAGAAGAAAGCAAUCUCUGCAGAGACUUGCUGAAAUGGAAAUCCAGCCAUGAAUCUGAGCAGGUUCUGGGAAGAAAGGUGUCCUCCUCCUAAGAAAUGUCAAAUCCAUUGAAUGAGGACAGUCUACUGAAACAACCACAACAUAUCACUUCUGCUUCACUGCAUCAUGAUCUGCUGGAAAACAUAAUCAAGAUAUGGCAUGGGACAUUUUUUGUUGUCUCAAUGCAUUACAUUGGCUAGGACAAAAAAAUUAAUAGAUCUGAUGGAAUAUUUUUGACACAUUCAGUUGUCUUGUUGUUUAUUGGGUGGAGGUGGUACAUGACACAUGGGCAACAUUUGCAGAUAUUGUUUACUACUGUGCAAGUGGCAAAUACCAUAAAAUAAUUGAAAGGUCCAUAUUUAUGAAUAUUUUCAGCAAUAUAAUGCUUGAGUAAUGACAAUGUUCUUAUUACAAUGCAUGUAUUUUUUCACAAUUUUACAUCUACUUAGUAAAAAGACUGAUCAUAAUAAUAUAUAUGCAUAAUGUAUAUUGAUACCAAUUGGCCUCUUUAAAGUGUAUACUUUCAAAACGCUAAGCUAUUGUCUUAAAAGACAAAGUAAUUUAGGGCAAGUCUACAAGGAAAGGAAAUCCUGAUGCACCUCAAAGUUCCUUUUGUCUGUUCCCACAAUACUCACUAUUUACAGGGUUAAACUAUUUUAGCCAAAGUGAGAUUAUACUCCAAAGUUCACUGGAAACUCUAACCCAGGGGUCCUCAAACUU
rnacentral:lncRNA from 1 species